UUGUUUGUAAUUUAAUUCUCUAAAUUUCAUUCACUGCAUGUCUCGACUACUUUUGCGUAGUUUCUGAGAUAUUUUAAUUUAUAUAAAAAAUAAAACAAUCUAUUUAAUUUAAUUUUUCCCUCUACGACGGUUAUGCAUCGGGCAUGCGCCGAACGAUUACGAGCAUAUUGCUUACAGCUGUCAUAAAGUUACUAAAUGCAAAAUGUAAACAUGAAAUUUAUUUUUUAAGCUACAUCCAUCUGUGUCGGGAUAAUAAUUGGACUUUUUUAGUACCCGGACUGGCCACCAGGCGGCGCCAUUUUACUUU